rnacentral:sRNA from 1 species
GCUAAAUGCUUGUUUCGAAGUGGUUUCCUGUUGCUUUUAUCCCAUUGUUUCCACGGUCUUGUUUUUCAUCCUGUCCUCUGGGGAUUUAGUAGGAUUGCCCCAUGGUCCGGUGAAAGGAACCCAGCCACCAAGCGGGGGAAAAACCUCACCUGUUUACUUUCCCCAGCCUGUUAUUUGGCCUUCCUCUAGGUAAGUUUUCCCACAGGCUACACCUCCUUCCCCCCUGAGGGAGGGUUUGUUUUUGUUUUUCUGUUUGUUUGUUUUUUUUAAAUAGUUGCCACUUUGUGUGAAAAUUUUAUAUUUGUCUUCACAUGUCCAUUAAUCAAAUUUUGCUGCUGCUUGUAUUCCUCACCUGUUUGUAGGAACCACCAAUCCAACUGGCACUGUUCUGGCAUUCAAAAAUAAAUCCAUGCAGUGUAAAGAGAGCUAGAAAGAGAGAUGGGCAUUUUCUGCAUGCUUAUCUUAAAGUCAGUAAUUAUUUCUCAGCGCAAAGGAGAACCGUGGUUGACAGACAUUCAAUACAGUUGCUUGUGUAAGCAAUUAAAAAUAUCUAUACUAUUUAAUUAGUGACAACUAAGCUUUCUUUAAAAAACAAAACAGCUUUCUCCAAGGUGUUGUGACACAAGCCUGUAAUUCUAGCCCCUUAAGAGGAUAAAGCCUGAAGACAGCAUUCAAGAUGACCCUGAGCUAGGAAGAGAGCUCUAGUGUUUUGCUUGCAGGUAUGUCUGUGCACCAUGCUCAUGCAGUGACCACAGAGGUCAGAGGAAGCCAUCAAAUCCCAUGGGACUGGAAGUAGAGAGUGUGUGAGCCACCACACCAUGUGGGUGCUGGGAACUGAGCCUGUUGAGCCAUCUCGCCAGCCGCCUUCAGCGAUGUUUUGGAGAUCUAGAAAUGGGACUUUGACCAGAGGAGAUGGCUCAGUGGGUAAAGUGCUUGCCUCGAAAGCACAAGUUCAACUGGGAUAGUGUCACCUGUCGUCCCAGGACCCAGGAGGAAGGUCAGAGACACCUUGUGGGAGCCGGACACGUUUCCUAGCAUGCAUGAUCUGGAUGUUUGAACUCAGGCCCUCGGCCGUGGCCACAAGCACCUUCACCAAAUGGUUCAUCUCACCACCCCUGGAGGGUGAAGUGAACUCAUGUCAGUAGCUCUGGGCAACAAGUACUUUUACCCAGGAGCCAUUUCAAUGAUUCAGAUCUUUUAAAAUGAACCAUUGCCCAUGCUCUUGGUAAGUUUAUUCCAAAUAAAAGCUGCUGUUACACACUGGAAAGGCUCUGUGUUUAAAGGUGCUUGCUGCUCUUCUAGAGGAUCCAAGCACCCAGUUCAAGCAGCUCACACUCAUCUGUAAACUCCAGCUCCAGAGGGUCUGAUAUCUAAUGCUGCUCUCUGAGGGAUCCAAUACCCACGUAACACACAGACACACAAAAAUAAGAACAAAAAUAAAUCUUUUUUAAAAACUCUGUAGCUAAAAGUACUUACUAACUUCUUCCCCAAAGUCCCUGUUUGUCAAGCAGGAAACAGAGAAUGGGCACUAGGCAUGUGGAGCAGGAACCUGAACCCCUGGGACUGCCCAUUGGAAAGAAAAGGCUCUCGGAAUGCAACUGGAAGCUCGGUGGUAGACCACUGGCUUGGCGUGUGUGGGUCCCAGUUUCAUCUCUGGCACGGAAAAAAACAAAACAAACAAAACAAACAAAAGCAUUAUAAUACAAUCAGCCUUUGGACGUGGGCCCAGACUUGUUUUUCCCCAAAACCUCCAUGGUUGAUUUUAUUAUGUGGCCUGAAUUGGGAACCCCUGAUUUUAGUCAUCAGAAGUAACUAACUCCUAACUCCUAUUGGUGCCUGCAGAGAACCCAGUCAGGGUGAGGAGUAUUUUCCAGGUCCUAGUAUACAUGUGAUUUUAUUAUUGCUAAUCUAUGGAUAACUCCAAUCUCCUGAAGUUGUCAUCAGGGGAUUAACUUUAUGAAUUAUGGCUACCAACAUCAGUCUUGGAUCAAUGUAUUAACAGGGCUGGGACCACAUGCACAAUGGUCUCUGAGGCCAGGACAGUUAUGCUAAUGAAGUGAGCAAGUAAGUUAUGUGCAAUGGUACACACAUGUAAUCCCUGCCCUUGACAGGUGGAGGCAGGAUAAUCAGGAGUUCAAGAUCACAGGAGCUGGAUAGAUGGUUCAGUGGUUCAUUGCAAAGACCCCAGGUUUAAUCCCAGCAUCUGUAACUCCAGUUCCAGCAGGCCUUCCUCUUCUGGUUUCUGACUGAACUUCGUGCACAUGGCUCAUAGACAUAUGCAAAUCUUAAACUGCAUCCUGCAGCUUAAAAAAUUUAAAAACAAAAGCAAAAGAAAGCAACCAUCGGCAAAACAAAACAAAACAAAAAAAACAAACAAUGAACAAAAACCACAGUGGAAUGAUCCCAGAGAGAAAGUUGAAUACCUAACCCUAUGCUAUAGACUAUUUGUGAUACUCCACCCCCAUGACCACCAUAUUGAAAAUCUCAUUCUCAAGUGUUAGCGUUUGGAAAUGGACCUUAAGUAGUUGGUAUGGCUUGGAUUUUGGAGGAUUUUCAAAGGCCUGUGUGUUAAGAAGUGCUGGAACUGCUAACAGGUGAGGUGUCAGCGCUGGACAUAGGCCCUGGCUUUGAUCCUAGCUGAGGAGUGAGAUCAGAAGAACUGGACCUAACGGGAGCUCUUAGGCCAUCGAGGCCUGUCCUUGGAGAAGAUUGUGAGCACCAGACUCUACUCUUUUCUUACGGUCCUGGAUGUGAGUGGUGGAUUUUUUGUCACACUUAGCAUGGUAUAUAUGCCUUAUCACAGUCCCAAAGCAACAGUGCCAACAUGGAUGGAAACUCCAAACCUGGGCGCCAAGACAACCUUUUCUUCUCAUAAGCUGACGCCUCAAGUGUUUGUUGUAAUAGUGGAAAACUGACUAAUAAUGGAAGGUGAGGGGUUAGAUGGGAUUGUGAGGGU